AAAAACACAGUCACAUAAAGAAUAAGCUUAAAGUAACCACUUCAAUAGGCUUGUCAAAGAUAUUUAAUAGUUUAGUUACAGUGUCUCGCCUAAUCAAACCACUUAUGACAUGUUCCUGACACAAAUUGAACACUAUUCGACACUUCAAAAAAAAAAAAAAAAACUAUCCAAUACUUGUCCAAUAUAAUCUAAUUUUGCACACCAAACAUGUCCUCAUAUGUGUGUUCAGGCCAUGCAAAAUUUGAAGACUUCGAAUGCAUAUUGAUACAUAGUACCAAAUAUGACCAAAGAGUAUAAUAAUCAACGUAUUAGCUAAUUAUUCUUCCUAAUCUAACGCCAAACCUUUCUUCAACAUAGGUGACAACGAGUGAGGCAAAUAUUGAAGAGAUCAAACACAACGAGAAGAAGAAAAAAUCCUUCAUCAUUUUGAUAGUGGGGUGGAGCAAGUGGACAAAUUGGACUCGCAUUUCUCAUCGAACGAAUACACGAAAAGAAUCAUGCUGAAAACUUCCA
rnacentral:lncRNA from 1 species